UACAGAGGUCCCAAGCGUUGUUCGGAUUCACUGGGCGUAAAGGGUGCGCAGGUGGGCUGUCAAGUUUGAUGUGAAAGCCCCGGGCUUAACCCGGGAAUGGCAUUGAAUACUGAUGGUCUGGAGGAUUGGAGGGGGGACUGGAAUUCUUGGUGUAGCAGUGAAAUGCGUAGAUAUCAAGAGGAACACCAGUGGCGAAGGCGAGUCCCUGGACAAUACCUGACACUGAGGCACGAAAGCCAAGGGAGCAAACAGG
rnacentral:rRNA from 1 species